rnacentral:rRNA from 1 species
ACGGAAGGCAGCAGUGGGGAAUAUUGGGCAAUGGGGGAAACCCUGACCCAGCGACGCCGCGUGAGGGAAGAAGGUUUUCGGAUUGUAAACCUCUGUCAACAGGGACGAAAAUGACGAUACCUGUGAAGGAAGCUCCGGCUAACUACGUGCCAGCAGCCGCGGUAAUACGUAGGGAGCAAGCGUUAUCCGGAAUUACUGGGUGUAAAGGGAGUGUAGGCGGGACUGUAAGUCAGAUGUGAAAUAUGCCGGCUCAACUGGCAGACUGCAUUUGAAACUGCGGUUCUUGAGUGAAGUAGAGGUAAGCGGAAUUCCUAGUGUAGCGGUGAAAUGCGUAGAUAUUAGGAGGAACAUCAGUGGCGAAGGCGGCUUACUGGGCUUUAACUGACGCUGAGGCUCGAAAGCGUGGGGAGCAAACAGGAUUAGAUACCCUGGUA